GACGCUGGCGGCGUGCCUAAUACAUGCAAGUCGAGCGAACCAAUUGAAAGCCUAGCUUUCAUGAGGUUAGCGGCGGACGGGUGAGUAACACGUGGGUAAUCUGCCCUAUAGACUGGGAUAACUCGCGGAAACGCGUGCUAAUACCGGAUAACACAUCAGAGUGCAUGCUUUGGUGUUGAAAGAUGGUUCUGCUAUCACUAUAGGAUGGGCCCGCGGCGCAUUAGCUUGUUGGUGGGGUAACGGCCUACCAAGGCGACGAUGCGUAGCCGACCUGAGAGGGUGAUCGGCCACACUGGGAUUGAGACACGGCCCAGACUCCUACGGGAGGCAGCAGUAGGGAAUCUUCCACAAUGGGCGAAAGCCUGAUGGAGCAACGCCGCGUGAGCGAAGAAGGUCUUCGGAUCGUAAAGCUCUGUUGUAAGGGAAGAACAAGUGCAGUAGUAACUGGCUGCACCUUGACGGUACCUUACUAGAAAGCCACGGCUAACUACGUG
rnacentral:rRNA from 1 species